CGGUAAUUCCAGCUCCAAUAGCGUAUACUAAAGUUGUUGCAGUUAAAAAGCUCGUAGUUGGAUUUCUGCGGGGACGGAGCGGCCGGUCGCAACUUGCGACUCGAGCUAGCGCUUUCCCCGCAUCCUGCCGCGAACCGUGCUACCAUUAGUUUGGUGGCGCUGGGGAUCGGCUCGAUUACUUUGAGAAAAAUAGAGUGUUCAAAGCAGGCCACACGCCUUGAAUAAGUUAGCAUGGAAUAAUGACUAAGGACUUUGGUUCUUUUCGUUGGUGUUCGGGACUGAAGUAAUGAUUGAUAGGGACAGUUGGGGCGGUCCGUAUUCCAAAGCGAGAGGUGAAAUUCUUAGACCUUCGGAAGACGAACAGCUGCGAAAGCGUUCCGCAAGGAUGUUCCCUUUGAUCAAGAACGAAAGUUGGGGGAUCGAAGACGAUCAGAUACCGUCGUAGUCUCAACUAUAAACUAUACCAGCUAGGGAUCGGCCAACGUUUAAUUAUUCGACUUGGUCGGCACCUUAUGAGAAAUCAAAGCAUCUGGGUUCCGGGGGGAGUAUGGUCGCAAGGCUGAAACUUAAAGGAAUUGACGGAAGGGCACCACCAGCCGUGGAGCCUGUGGCUUAAUUUGACUCAACACGGGAAAACUUACCAGGUCCGGACAUAGUAAGGAUUGACAGAUUGAUAGCUCUUUCUUGAUUCUGUGGAUGGUGGUGCAUGGCCGUUUUUAGUCGGUGGAUGUGAUCUGUCUGCUUAAUUGCGUUAACGGACGAGACCCCAGCCUGCUAAAUAGCGCGGCCGAGCUUUGCUCGGUGCGAGCUUCUUAGAGGGACCAUGAUGCGCGAUAGCACAAGGAAGUUUGGGGCAACAACAGGUCUGUGAUGCCCUUAGAUGUUCUGGUCCGCACACGGGCUACACUGGCGCCUGCAACGAGCAUAUCAGCUGGCCCGAGAGGGUCUUGGCUAAUCUUUGGAACCGGCGCCGUGCUUGGGAUUGACCAUUGCAAUUGUUGGUCAUGCAACGAGGAAUGCCUUGUAAACGCGAGUCAUCAGCUCGCAUUGAAUACGUCCCUGCCCUUUGUACACACCGCCCGUCGCUCCUACCGAUGAAUGUUCCGAUGAAAUUUUCGGAGAGCGCCGGAGAACGGGGCUCUGCCCUGCAGAACUGGAGGCUCAAAGUCACUUAAAUCUGAACAUUUCGAGGAAGGAGAAGUCGUAACAAGGUAACC
rnacentral:rRNA from 1 species